rnacentral:tRNA from 1 species
GUAAGGUUGGCCGAGUGGUUUAAGGCGUCAGAUUUAGGUUGAGUUCAGAUCUGAACGAAACUGGAAAAUCAUUAUGAUUUUCGUUCCAAACAUUCUGAUAUCUGCGGAUGCGCGGGUUCGAAUCCCGUACCUUACA